rnacentral:rRNA from 1 species
UACAGAGGGUGCAAACGUUGUUCGGAAUCACUGGGCAUAAAGCGCACGUAGGCGGCUUAGCAAGUGUGGUGUGAAAGCCCCCGGCCCAACCGGGGAACUGCAUCACAGACUGCUAGGCUAGAGAGCGGUAGGGGAGACUGGAACUCCUGGUGGAGCGGUGAAAUGCGUAGAUAUCAGGAGGAACACCGGUGGUGAAAACGAGUCUCUGGUCCGCUUCUGACGCUCAGGUGCGAAAGCUAGGGGAGCAAACGGG